AACGAACGCUGGCGGCGUGCUUAACACAUGCAAGUCGAACGGAAUUAGGGGCUUGCUCCUAAUUUAGUGGCGCACGGGUGAGUAACGCGUGGAUAACCUACCCUGGUAUCUAGGAUAACAUCUCGAAAGGGGUGCUAAUACCGGAUAAGCCCACGGUCUCUUCGGGGAUUGCGGGAAAAGAUGGCCUCUAUUUAUAAGCUAUCGUAUCAGGAUGGGUCCGCGUACCAUUAGCUAGUUGGUGGUGUAAUGGACCACCAAGGCGACGAUGGUUAGCUGGUCUGAGAGGAUGAUCAGCCACACUGGAACUGAGACACGGUCCAGACUCCUACGGGAGGCAGCAGUGGGGAAUUUUGCGCAAUGGGGGAAACCCUGACGCAGCAACGCCGCGUGAGUGAUGAAGGCCUUCGGGUCGUAAAGCUCUGUCAGAGGGGAAGAAGUGAUAGUGUGCUAAUACCACAUUAUCUUGACGGUACCCUCAAAGGAAGCACCGGCUAACUCCGUGCCAGCAGCCGCGGUAAUACGGAGGGUGCAAGCGUUGUUCGGAUUUAUUGGGCGUAAAGCGCGUGUAGGCGGUCUUUUAAGUCUGAUGUGAAAGCCCCGGGCUCAACCCGGGAAGUGCAUUGGAAACUGGGAGACUUGAAUACGGGAGAGGGUAGUGGAAUUCCUAGUGUAGGAGUGAAAUCCGUAGAUAUUAGGAGGAACACCGGUGGCGAAGGCGGCUACCUGGACCGAUAUUGACGCUGAGACGCGAAAGCGUGGGGAGCAAACAGGAUUAGAUACCCUGGUAGUCCACGCCGUAAACGAUGAGUACUAGGUGUUGCGGGUAUUGACCCCUGCAGUGCCGCAGCUAACGCAUUAAGUACUCCGCCUGGGAAGUACGGUCGCAAGACUA
rnacentral:rRNA from 1 species